rnacentral:rRNA from 1 species
AAGAUUAAGCCAUGCAUGUCUAAGUAUAAGCAAGUUAUACCGUGAAACUGCGAAUGGCUCAUUAAAUCAGUUAUUGUUUAUUUGAUAGUACCUUACUACUUGGAUAACCGUGGUAAUUCUAGAGCUAAUACAUGCUAAAAGCCCCGACUUCGGAAGGGGUGUAUUUAUUAGAUAAAAACCAAUGCCCCUCGGGGCUCCUUGGUGAUUCAUAAUAACUUAACGAAUCGCAU